GAUGAAGAACGCAGUGAAAUGCGAUACGUAAUGUGAAUUGCAGAAUUCAGUGAAUCAUCGAGUCUUUGAACGCACAUUGCGCCCCCUGGUAUUCCGGGGGGCAUGCCUGUCCGAGCGUCAUUGCUGCCCUCAAGCACGGCUUGUGUGUUGGGCCUCCGUCCUCCUCCCGGGGGACGGGCCCGAAAGGCAGCGGCGGCACCGCGUCCGGUCCUCGAGCGUAUGGGGCUUCGUCACCCGCUCUUGUAGGCCCGGCCGGCGCUUGCCGACACAUCAAUCUUUUUUCCAGGUUGACCUCGGAUCAGGUAGGGAUACCCGCUGAACUUAAGCAUAUCAAUAGCGGAGG
rnacentral:misc_RNA from 1 species